CGGGUGAGUAACGCGUGAGGAACCUGCCUCAAAGAGGGGGACAACAGUUGGAAACGACUGCUAAUACCGCAUAAGCCCACGGCUCGGCAUCGAGCAGAGGGAAAAGGAGCAAUCCGCUUUGAGAUGGCCUCGCGUCCGAUUAGCUAGUUGGUGAGGUAACGGCCCACCAAGGCGACGAUCGGUAGCCGGACUGAGAGGUUGAUCGGCCACAUUGGGACUGAGACACGGCCCAA
rnacentral:rRNA from 1 species